rnacentral:lncRNA from 1 species
CAAGGAUGUUUUGAGAAUAGCUCCUUUCCCACCAAUCACCCAUUUAUUUGGCAAAUUACCCUCUUAGUUAAAAGGAAUUACUAAAAAGCCUGGUAGUCCUGAGCCAUCUUUGGAGUCUCCCCUGUGGUAUGGGUGCAUAGCCCAGGACCGUCCUGUUGGGACUCUGGUGGCUGAUCUCGGGACUCCCCAGCCACAAGAUCCAGAUGUAGAUGAUUCCCCUGAUGGUGACGAUCAAUUAUGCACCUAGAAAACAGCAAGAAGUUGUUGAAUUGAAUUUCUGGGAUUGAAGAGGCCACUGUCCCAAAGACCUGAUUAGCUGACUGCCCCAUAUGUGCAGGAGUUGAUUCAAGUUCUGUCAAUCCAAGUGAGUCUCUCUGUACAUGGCCCUGGGCCACAU